UUAGUCUUAUUUCCAGGUUUCACGGGCACGAUUCUUUUGUUCUCGUCUGUCCGAGUAUCGAAGGCUCUCCUUGCGUUGUAGGCUUCCUCGCUUCGCGCCGUUUUCGUCGAUUCUUCCUUCUAUUUUCACUUCCACGUAGUGAUGGUAAUCAGUGGGGGCCGUGGCUUAUCAAAGAGGCGGUGACCACCGGAGAAAGAUGUCGGGCGAGGUACAUGUUGACUUCUUCUUCCGCGUUUUUUUUUGGGAGUGUUUAAAAGGGAAUGUGGUUACUAAGACCACGGUGUCGGGUGGCCCGGUUUGUGCGCCCCCGGUUAAAGCGGUGCGUCCCGUUAAGCCUUCUGGAGUUUCUAUCCCCGUUGUUGCUGCUCGGCUUCAUUAUCAACCGUCCGGCACUUGUGAAUCAGUUGUGUUUCCCAUGCCUGACCUUCUGGAGGAUGCUUUGAUAGUUAACUGGUUGUUGGGGGGAAACAUGUUAGUAUAGUGGUUUUCUUUGUUAUCGUGGGUUGCAUUCUGUAUUUAGUUACGUCUGUUUUGGGUUUUUGCUAUUGUGUGCACACGUAUAUUGCAAACUAUGCUCACUAUAGUUUUUGGUCAUACUACCUUUGUGCAUACAGAUACGUUUGUUUGUGCACAAUCUUCUUGUGCACAUUUUACUUGUUGAUGCUACUGUAACGUCACACAAGCAGUGUUUAAUUAAUGCUAACGUUAUUUUUGGGUUGGAUGGUAA